UGAAACCGCGAACGGCUCAUUACAACAGCUAUAAUUUACUUGAUCCUGAAUAUCCUACUUGGAUAAUUGUGGUAAUUCUAGAGCUAAUACAUGCACCGAAGCUCCGACUCACGAACGAGCGCAUUUAUUAGAACAAAACCAAUCGGGUCUAGGCCCGCGCUUUGGUGACUCUGAAUAACUGAGCUGAUCGCACGGUCUUGCACCGGCGACAUGUCUUUCAAGUAUCUGCCUUAUCAACUUUCGAUGGUAGUUUAUGUGACUACCAUGGUUGUAACGGGUAACGGAGAAUAAGGGUUCGACUCCGGAGAGGGAGCCUGAGAAACGGCUACCACAUCCA
rnacentral:rRNA from 1 species